rnacentral:rRNA from 1 species
UACACUCCUGCGGGAGGCAGCAGUGGGGAAUUUUGGACAAUGGGCGAAAGCCUGAUCCAGCAAUGCCGCGUGAGUGAAGAAGGCCUUCGGGUUGUAAAGCUCUUUUGUCAGGGAAGAAACGGUGAGAGCUAAUAUCUUUUGCUAAUGACGGUACCUGAAGAAUAAGCACCGGCUAACUACGUGCCAGCAGCCGCGGUAAUACGUAGGGUGCAAGCGUUAAUCGGAAUUACUGGGCGUAAAGCGUGCGCAGGCGGUUUUGUAAGUCUGAUGUGAAAUCCCCGGGCUCAACCUGGGAAUUGCAUUGGAGACUGCAAGGCUAGAAUCUGGCAGAGGGGGGUAGAAUUCCACGUGUAGCAGUGAAAUGCGUAGAUAUGUGGAGGAACACCGAUGGCGAAGGCAGCCCCCUGGGUCAAGAUUGACGCUCAUGCACGAAAGCGUGGGGAGCAAACAGGAUUAGAAACCCGGGUAGUCCCAUGA